UUUCUUUUGCUUGUAUUCGGAGGAAAAGAAACCAACUGGGAUUACCUUAGUAACGGCGAGUGAAGCGGUAAAAGCUCAAAUUUGAAAUCUGGUACUUUCAGUGCCCGAGUUGUAAUUUGUAGAAUUUGUCUUUGAUUAGGUCCUUGUCUAUGUUCCUUGGAACAGGACGUCAUAGAGGGUGAGAAUCCCGUUUGGCGAGGAUACCUUUUCUCUGUAAGACUUUUUCGAAGAGUCGAGUUGUUUGGGAAUGCAGCUCAAAGUGGGUGGUAAAUUCCAUCUAAAGCUAAAUAUUGGCGAGAGACCGAUAGCGAACAAGUACAGUGAUGGAAAGAUGAAAAGAACUUUGAAAAGAGAGUGAAAAAGUACGUGAAAUUGUUGAAAGGGAAGGGCAUUUGAUCAGACAUGGUGUUUUUUGCAUGCACUCGCCUCUCGUGGGCUUGGGCCUCUCAAAAAUUUCACUGGGCCAACAUCAAUUCUGGCAGCAGGAUAAAUCAUUAAGAAUGUAGCUACUUCGGUAGUGUUAUAGCUUUUUGGAAUACUGUUAGCCGGGAUUGAGGACUGCGCUUCGGCAAGGAUGUUGGCAUAAUGGUUAAAUGCCGCCCGUCUG
rnacentral:rRNA from 1 species